UAUAGGUAUAUCUUUUAAGUUUCAGCUAAAAAAGUUCAACUGUUUCAAUGAAUGAGAUUAGAGAAAAAUGUUAUUUUGUCCAUGUUAGUUUUCUCUCUUUCUUUUUUUAACAUUUGUCUCACUGAGAAACUCUAGCAUCCUUCAUGUUUUGGAGCAGGGACUUGGAAUUAGGAUUGCCCUCCUGUCAGAGAUGGAUGGUUUAGUGUCCUGAGAAAGUUCACCCAAAUUUGGCUAAGUUACAAAUGAAAAUCAGUUUGCAUGUGCUCAACGGAGGUUUGAGAGAAGCUGGCAGCAUUAUUUUCUGAAAACACCAUCCACAAUGAUCAUGCUCCAACCCCACACAGCUCCUGUGUACUGACUGGACUGAGCAUGUUGAACCAUAGUGUCUUCCUCCUGGGUUCCAGGCCUAGAAUAGAGAGCAAGAAGACUGUCUCUCUUAUCCUCUCAAUGCCCCCACUGCUGUGUUGGUCCCUGGGCAGUGUGGAGAAGGAGAAAGCAGUCUGACUUGCUUGACUGCAGAGGAGUGAGGAGAGGAUGACAGGGGCAAGCCGGGGCAGGCUUGGGGGGUAUACAAUUUUCCUGGAAUUGGGCCAGAAUGCUCAGCACCUUGGAAGAUUGAGCCAAAAUGACACUGAAACUGGAAGGAAUCCAAAUAAGGGUGACAAAGAUGAUAGAAGGAUUAGGAGGUAAAAUUUAUGAACAGAUUAAGUGGUUUUAAAAAGUUUAGUCUAGAGAAAAGAGAGUAUGAAGUCAAAAGCGCAAGUUGGGGAUUGGAACUCGGCUGUUAAUAGUCUCCAACUGGUAAUUAAGAGUCAUUCUUGGUUUUUUUUUUUUUUUUUUUUUUUUAAAAGGCUGUCAUUGAAGAAUCUGUGAAUUCCUUUUUAACAGAAAAAAGUGACUGGCAGAUUGAACAUGGAUUGUUUUAAACCUUAAUUUAAUUCAUUCAAGGCAAACACUCUUCUGAAAAUUAAAAAGCAUUAUGUUGACUCUAGAUUGCUAUUUGGAUAAACAUUUAAUUAAAAAUAUUGAAUACUAAACUUGUGACACAGCUUCAAUACAGUUGCCUACCCCUUACUAAAGGACAGUUUACUGGUGUAUUUUAAAAUUUGGAUUUUUUUUUCCUCAAUUCUGAGCAGUGAUUGCUAAAUAUUUACUUUCAAAUUGAUAAAGCUAUCAGCUGCUAUUUACGUACACUUCACAUAUUUUGGCUUAAAAAUACAAAAGGGUAAAGCAAGCACACUUUCAGGGGGAGGGAAGCUGAUUGCCAAUAAUAAUGGCUACAUUUAAUAAAUUUAUACAAGUCUUGUACGAAAACACUUUUUUUUUUUUUUUUUUUACACACAAGUUGAUGUGGAGACACAUGUAUUCAUCAUUUUGCUUCACGACUGAUCAAAAACGAAACUGCUGGCAAAAACCUACCAUGUGAAUAUGACCAGUUAACCCCCCCCGAACUGGCUGUUCUUUUAGGGUGUGAUUUUCUGCACAUGCAGUUACUCCAACAGUACAUGCACAUUAGGAGCAUACUACUGUCGGCUGUACG